AUAUCAAUAAGCGGAGGAAAAGAAACCAACAGGGAUUGCCUCAGUAACGGCGAGUGAAGCGGCAAAAGCUCAAAUUUGAAAUCUAGUACCUUCGGUGCUCGAGUUGUAAUUUGAAGAUAGUUUUCUGGUGCUGGCCCUUGUCUAUGUUCCUUGGAACAGGACGUCAUAGAGGGUGAGAAUCCCGUCUGAUGGGGUGUCCAGUGCUUUGUAGAUUUCUAUCGAAGAGUCGAGUUGUUUGGGAAUGCAGCUCUAAGUGGGUGGUAAAUUCCAUCUAAAGCUAAAUACUGGCGAGAGACCGAUAGCGAACAAGUACAGUGAUGGAAAGAUGAAAAGAACUUUGAAAAGAGAGUGAAAAAGUACGUGAAAUUGUUGAAAGGGAAGGAUAUUGGAUCAGACUUGGUGUUUUGUGAUUAUCUUCCCUUCUUGGGUUGUGCACUCGCAUUUCACUGGGCCAGCAUCGGUUCGGAUGGCAAGAUAAUGGCUUGGGAACGUGGCACCCCUCGGGGUGUGUUAUAGCCCUUGUUGAUGUUGCCUAUCUGGACCGAGGACUGCGGCUUCUGCCUAGGAUGCUGGCGUAAUGAUUCAAU
rnacentral:rRNA from 9 species